rnacentral:rRNA from 1 species
UACGAAGGGUGCAAGCGUUACUCGGAAUUACUGGGCGUAAAGCGUGCGUAGGUGGUUUGUUAAGUCUGUUGUGAAAGCCCCGGGCUUAACCUGGGAAUGGCCGUCGAAACUGGCGAACUGGAGUGUGGCAGAGGGGGUGGAAUUCCGCGUGUAGCAGUGGAAAUGCGUAGAGAUGCGGAGGAACACCGAUGGCGAAGGCAGCCCCCUGGGCUGACACUGACGCUCAGGCACGAAAGCGUGGGGAGCAAACAGG